UCUAGGCAUAGCAAGCCAAGCAGGAUAAGACACAUCAUGGCUCAAGCAACUACCAGGUAUGCUAGGUUGCAAGGUUUGGCUAUUUACUGUGACAAUGACAGGUCAUGCAAAGGAAUAGGUUCAGCUACCGAAGUAAAGCAUUUGAAAUAUUUUGUCCUAAUGCAAUAAGUGGGAGCACGAGCAGGAACAUGGGAUUAUAUCGGGA
rnacentral:lncRNA from 1 species